rnacentral:rRNA from 1 species
UACGUAGGGUGCGAGCGUUAAUCGGAAUUACUGGGCGUAAAGCGUGCGCAGGCGGUGAUGUAAGACCGAUGUGAAAUCCCCGGGCUUAACCUGGGAACUGCAUUGGUGACUGCAUUGCUGGAGUAUGGCAGAGGGGGGUGGAAUUCCGCGUGUAGCAGUGAAAUGCGUAAAUAUGCGGAGGAACACCGAUGGCGAAGGCAAUCCCCUGGGCCUGCACUGACGCUCAUGCACGAAAGCGUGGGGAGCAAACAGG